UACAGAGGGUGCGAGCGUUGUCCGGAAUCAUUGGGCGUAAAGCGCGUGUAGGCGGUCCGGUAAGUCGGCUGUGAAAGUCCAGGGCUCAACCCUGGGAUGCCGGUCGAUACUGCCGGACUAGAGUUCGGAAGAGGCGAGUGGAAUUCCCGGUGUAGCGGUGAAAUGCGCAGAUAUCGGGAGGAACACCAAUGGCGAAGGCAAGACUCUGGACAAGUGCUGACGCUCAUGCACGAAGGCUAGGGUAGCGAACGGG
rnacentral:rRNA from 1 species